ensembl:snRNA U2 U2 spliceosomal RNA
UUUGCUUCUCUGCCUUUUGGCUAAGAUCAAGUGUAGUAUCUGGCCUGCGCCAAGGCUCAAUAGGCUAAUCCUCCACCUUGU